rnacentral:rRNA from 1 species
GGGGAAGUAUUGGGCGAAUGGGCGCAAGCCUGACCCAGCAACGCCGCGUGAAGGAAGAAGGCUUUCGGGUUGUAAACUUCUUUAAGAGGGAAGAGCAGAAGACUGUACCUCUAGAAUAAGCCACGGCUAACUACGUGCCAGCAGCCGCGGUAAUACGUAGGUGGCAAGCGUUGUCCGGAUUUACUGGGUGUAAAGGGCGUGCAGCCGGGAAUGCAAGUCAGAUGUGAAAUCCAUGGGCUUAACCCAUGAACUGCAUUUGAAACUGUAUUUCUUGAGUACUGGAGAGGCAAUCGGAAUUCCUAGUGUAGCGGUGAAAUGCGUAGAUAUUAGGAGGAACACCAGUGGCGAAGGCGGAUUGCUGGACAGCAACUGACGGUGAGGCGCGAAAGUGUGGGGAGCAAACAGGAUUAGAUACCCUGGUAGU